UAGCAUAUCAAUAAGCGGAGGAAAAGAAACUAACAAGGAUUCCCCUAGUAACUGCGAGUGAAGCGGGAAAAGCUCAAAUUUAAAAUCUGGCAGCUUUGGCUGUCCGAGUUGUAGUCUGGAGAAGCGUUUUCUGUGCUGGACCGUGUACAAGUCUCUUGGAAUAGAGCGUCAUAGAGGGUGAGAAUCCCGUCUUUGACACGGACUGCCAGUGCUUUGUGAUGCGCUCUCAAAGAGUCGAGUUGUUUGGGAAUGCAGCUCAAAAUGGGUGGUAAAUUCCAUCUAAAGCUAAAUAUUGGCGAGAGACCGAUAGCGAACAAGUACCGUGAGGGAAAGAUGAAAAGCACUUUGGAAAGAGAGUUAAACAGUACGUGAAAUUGUUGAAAGGGAAACGCUUGAAGUCAGUCGCGUGUGCUAGAACUCAGCCUGGUUUUUACUUGGUGCAUUUUCUAGUACACGGGCCAGCAUCAAUUUUGACCGCUGGAUAAAGGCCUCAGGAAUGUGGCACCUUCGGGUGUGUUAUAGCCUGGGGUUGUAUACAGCGGUUGGGAUUGAGGAUCUCAGCAUGCCUUUUGGCCGGGGUUCGCCCACGUUCAUGCUUAGGAUGCUGGCGUAAUGGCUUUAAACGACCCGUCUUGAAACACGGACCAAGGAGUCUAACAUGCCUGCGAGUGUUUGGGUGGAAAACCCGAGCGCGAAAUGAAAGUGAAAGUUGGGAUCCCUGUCGCGGGGAGCACCGACGCCCGGACCAGACCUUCUGUGACGGAUCCGCGGUAGAGCAUGUAUGUUGGGACCCGAAAGAUGGUGAACUAUGCCUGAAUAGGGUGAAGCCAGAGGAAACUCUGGUGGAGGCUCGUAGCGAUUCUGACGUGCAAAUCGAUCGUCAAAUUUGGGUAUAGGGGCGAAAGACUAAUCGAACCAUCUAGUAGCUGGUUCCUGCCG
rnacentral:rRNA from 1 species